rnacentral:antisense_RNA from 1 species
CCCAGCACAGAGCAGAGUAGAACAGAGUAGGAUUGGAGCUGAGAGAUAGUAAGUAAAUAGGCAGCAGAAAUAUGUCAAGCAACAAUACCCCAUGUUAGCAUUUUACCUAUGUAUGGCAUUUUCUAUUUUCAGUGACGGACUAUGAGCCGUGAUAAACACAUUACUCCCUUCUUUAACAAAAAAGAGCAUGGUUAACUCCAAAGACUUCUCUAGACCAGCCUGGAUGGUACUUAAACUUUAAUCAACCAAUGCUCAAGUAAAAGAGCAGUAUCCAGCCCCAGCACACCUAACUGUUUUGCAUAACAUAGUCUCUGAUUUCAGGAGUAGAGGAAAAUAUAUAAGAAGAGAUUUACCUGGGUAACGGUUAAGUUUCCCAAUCUCCAUCGUACAUAAUAUCGAAUAGGAAUCACAAGUGUGUAGAGGACAUGAAGGAAGGCAAAUCCCAGAGCUACCAAGCCAAGCUGCUUUCGGCAAAGCAUCCAGUGGUCAAGCCAGUCUGGGAAUCGACGGUAUUUUGUGCCUCGGUACAGUUGUAGAAUGGCAGCAAUAACACCAGGGAGGUAAACCAAAGCAAGCAGUUGCUCCUGACUGGAGAGCCCAGGCUGAGAUGGUGUUAAAUGCUUUUACCACGUGGGCUCCUGGCACCAACUGAGCAAGAUCCCACCCCACAGGCCUUGGAAGCCUGAGGCAGUAUUCUUCUGGGAUAUUUCCAACUAGGCUUCCCAUGAGCAUGUUAGAGCCAGCCUAGCUGGUGAAUUUUACUUCUGUCACCUCUCAGAGGGAAGAGGUCUGAGAGGCUCAGGCCUCUUCCAGCUUUUGAGGA